AUUGAACGCUGGCGGCAGGCCUAACACAUGCAAGUCGAGCGGAUGAAGGGAGCUUGCUCCUGGAUUCAGCGGCGGACGGGUGAGUAAUGCCUAGGAAUCUGCCUGGUAGUGGGGGAUAACGUCCGGAAACGGGCGCUAAUACCGCAUACGUCCUGAGGGAGAAAGUGGGGGAUCUUCGGACCUCACGCUAUCAGAUGAGCCUAGGUCGGAUUAGCUAGUUGGUGGGGUAAAGGCCUACCAAGGCGACGAUCCGUAACUGGUCUGAGAGGAUGAUCAGUCACACUGGAACUGAGACACGGUCCAGACUCCUACGGGAGGCAGCAGUGGGGAAUAUUGGACAAAGGGCGAAAGCCUGAUCCAGCCAUGCCGCGUGUGUGAAGAAGGUCUUCGGAUUGUAAAGCACUUUAAGUUGGGAGGAAGGGCUGUAAGUUAAUACCUUGCUGUUUUGACGUUACCAACAGAAUAAGCACCGGCUAACUUCGUG
rnacentral:rRNA from 1 species